AUAUAUAUAUAUGGAAUCCAUUAAGUGUAACCAACUUUCAAAUCAACCUUGACCAUUGGAUUUGGCUGAGAUUAAAUCUCAGCCACUUAAACUCACAUUUUUAACUGCUAUUUAAGCAGUUAUUAGCAGUUACUAUUGGAACCCUGUUUUCACUCACCACGUCGUCCAUAACCUCUGUUUACAGUUGUUAUAUACACAUAGAUAAACACAGAGUUCCCUCAUGUUUUUGAUUUGGUCUACGAGAACCCUAAGAGCCCACCGCCUGCUACAGCUAAGCGUUCUUCAAUCGCGACACAUUGGUGCAUUUUAUCACCAGGACGUCUUCCUUCUCUUCCUGCGAGUUCAAGGUUAGUGGUACACUCCUAUCAGCCUUAUCCGAACCCAAUUCCGACACGAUUCCGAUCCAACAGGUAGAUGAAAUGGCGGAAGGGCGUCAACAUAGUGAAAAUUCAAACCCUCCACCUUCCUCGAAGUCGACAACAGCAUCGGAGAUCCAUAAUAUGUUUGAGAAGGGUCAUCAUGGUCCAGUCAUCGAGAUGGCAUGUCACGCUUCUGGUGGAUUGCUGGUAACGGCUGGAGCCAAUGCCAAAAUACUUGUAUGCUUUUUUCUGGAUACGAUGAUACAUACGUGUCUGUUGUGUGGCGGCAGAGAUCAGGUUGUAAACUUGUGGAAUCUCCAAGACUACAACUGCACAAGUAUACCCACCAAUGAAGCAAUUGACUUUGUAUGUGUUAUUGGUACCACAUCUUCUUUGCUUCAGGUCUGCAAAGCACGAAAACUGGUGACAAGUCAGCAUUUCAUCUAAAUUUGGUGCCGCGGUUCUUGCGAAAGAUGAAGAUGGCAAAGAUGAUGAAGAGACGCUACCUUUAAGUUAUCUUAAUUAAGGAUGUAAAUGAAUAAUCCCUAUGGCUAACUGAAUGGAGAAGGACGGGAGGAGAGAAGUAGCAAUUGCAUUAAAGAGAACAUUAGUUUUAUGCCACUCCUCAGGAAAAGGCCAAAGCACUUGGAUUAAGGCCUGGGCCCAAAUAUUAUGAACUACAAGGAGGAAUGUAUAUGAGAUCAGAUUUAAAAGAUAUCAUGAUUCAUCCUGUUGAUGGACUUGGACGCCAGGGUUCUCCUUGUAGCUUGCCCAUUCUCUCAUUUUCAAGAAAUAUCAUUUGCACAAUCUAUAGAGGAGAAUUAUUAUGUUGAUACUGCAGAGGAAAAACAGAAAAUGUCAAUUAUGUAAUUCAUUCCAGUCCCAUUGUCAGUGUAAACUCUAGUGAUGAUCAAAUGUGGAUGUCAAGUUUUGGUGUGGCUGAGCAUAUGAUGCAGGACAUCAAAUGUAACUGUGCAAUUUGUCCUUAAGCAAUAACUUAAAGGGGAUACCUGGUUCAGGAGAUGAUAUAUAUUUUUGGCAUGAUUUAUGGAUUA